rnacentral:lncRNA from 1 species
UUAUAGGUAUUAAAUAAGAAAAUAAAAUUAAGAAAAAGAACAACUUUUUUUUUUAUUAAACGGUAAAAAUGAUCACUCUAAAUCUUUCCAACCUUAUUAUGCUUACAAACUGGAACUCUUUCUGCCUUGCCAAUAUCAUGCAGUGGUCCGAAAACCCUAAUACCAGCCUAGUUCCUCAAGUUCAGAUCAAUGCUAAAUUCCCCUGAUAUGGGAUUGACUGUGAUAACUAAUACAAUAUGGGGGAUUUCAAUUGUACAUCAAAAGUUUAUGUAGCAGAGGUUCUCUUUACUUUCAGCAGUCCCAUCUGAAAUUUGCUACUGGAUGAUCACUCAAAAUCGAGCUACCAGCUUUCUCUGUUGAGGUGCAGACUAGACUCGUUUCUUAGAACAUCGAAUUUCCCAUUGUUCCCUAAAUUUUCAAAUCAUCCCAAUCAAGGGAUUCGUUUUCAUAAUCAUAUUGUUGAUGCCUACCGCGUGACAACCUGCCCAUUACAGCCAAACCUGAAACAAUCCGGCCAUGUUGAAUCAGAAAGUGUAGGCAAAACCACUUAUACCUGAUCGUCAAAAUUCACUAAAAAAAAAAAAGAAUAACCACGGUUGUUGUAAUGAUCAACUUCUACCACAACUACAAUGCUUGUGCACGCAUGCAAGUAAUCAGUGAACAUAUGUUUAGUGUAUGCACACAGGAAAAUUGUGGCUGUACCUUCAAUCAUUCUGUAGAAAGCUGACCACCAUCCAUCUUGGGGAACUUGGCUCUGUUGCAGUGUAUCACAUAUCGCUUCGUCAUACUUCCCCACCAGGACAUCCUGCAGCCUUAUAACUGCAUCUUUCGUUUUCCUGAGGAUGCUGUCCUCGUCUCCAACAUCCAACAUUGGAAGACCAUUCUCUGAAGAAGCGAGACUAACAACCAGGGCGAGUUGGGCAGCUGCAGCCCAUCUUGAAGAGUCUAUCCAUCUAUGAUCAUUCUUCCUUUUACUCAACUUAUUCUCUUUACUUUCAAGCACCAGGCUAUACAAGUAUUGAGCAUUUGCUGGACCUGUACUUUGAACCAUCCUAGAGAAUGCGCUUCCUUUGUUUGGUAGUAGCAGUUCCUCUGGGGUGCCAUGUUCUAAGACCUGAAAGGUUGAUGAUUCUAACAUGAGUUGAACAAAGGAUCACUACAUGACAUAUUGGAAUCAUAAAAAAAUUGUGAAUGAAGUUGGUUAGCAUGAAAAUUCUUGAUGAUCCCUGCUUCUUUCUUUUUUUACAUUAAUUUUUUCAGGAUUGUGUUCAAUAAACUCAGUUUUCCAAGCAAGAAGGAAACAGGGAACAACUUCCUUGCAAACAUAAUUUGAGAGCAUACCUGAUCAGCCUCAAGCACAAGAAUUCUGUCGCAGUCAAUAAUGGUAUUUAGUCUGUGAGCGAUGACUAGCAUUGUGCAGGAUCUGAAUUCUUCUCGAAUGGUUUUCUGGAUAAGAGCAUCGGUUCUAACAUCAACAGAAGCAGUAGCUUCAUCAAGAACAAGAAUCUUAGAUCUUCGCAGCAACGCUCGUGCGAGACUUAGUAGUUGUCUCUGUCCAACACUAAAAUUCUCCCCUCCCUCAAAAACCUUAGAAACCAAAACAAAUCAACUUUACAGUUUGCUUUACCCGAUAAUCAACUUAAUGUUGUGCACAUCUGAAAAAAAUAUGUAUUAAAAACAUUUCUUUGACUUUAAAUCAGCUUUAAUGAAAAUCGAUGCCAUAGUUUUUUAGUAGAAUGUUUGCAGUGGAGCACUAUUUCCACCCAUAUGUGUGCUUCAUAUUAGUUUUUGUCACACAUUUUUAACAUUGUUUUUAAAAUAUAUGAAUAGCUAACACAGUUUGACUGAUUAAGAUUCACUGACAGAAGGUAGUUUGAUAAAAGGUAAUCUAAGUCCAUACCUCAGCAUCCAGACCAAAAGAAUUAUUUCUAAUGGCAUCCUUUAAAUGUGCCCUCUCCAAAGCCUCCCAUAGGUCAGCAUCAUUGUGUUCACUAAAUGGAUCGAGAUUAAAUCGCACAGUUCCUAUAAGAAAACGAAAGACAAUUAGAAUGAAACAAGUGUUAAGAUUAAUCACCACUGUGGCUUCAGCUUGGCUAUGGUUUCUCAAUCAAAUCUCAAGUAUUCUUGGUUAGCAAGCUUUCAAGUGGAAAACAAAAUCAAAACAGAGUAAGAGCAUAAAUCAUCUCAACUCAUCCAAAAGACAGUAUCAGAUGUCAACAUAAGAAAAGAAGUUGAAGAAGUUGAACUAGAAAAAUCCAGUUUUCAGUUUCUCUUGACAGUACCUGAGAAGAGAACUGGUGAUUGGGGUAUGAUACUGAGAAUUUUCCGCAAAUCUGUGAGUCCAAACUUAGCAACGUCACAACCAUCAAUGGUGAUUUCUCCUCUUUCCAGUUCUACAAUACGGAACAGUGCAUUUAGCAUGCUAGAUUUCCCUGCUCCUGUUCUUCCAACUAUUCCUAGCUUUUCACUAGGAGAGACUUCAAAGGACAAAUGAUGCAAGACUGGAGGAAGCUCGGGUCUGUAACGCAGAAAAACAUCCCUGAAUUUAAUUGAACCUGAAGAAGGCCAAGCAGGAGGAGGACGAUUGGUCUCGACAAUGGCAGGAGCUUCGGAUGGUAAAUCCAUGUAUGUGCCAACACGCUCAACAGAGUUUAAGCUAUUUUCAGCUCUACUAGCUUGUCUUAGAACAUUACUCAACAAAUCAGUGAUGUUCAAAGUAUAACUAAGUAGUAGACCCAUUACAGAUGCAAAUUCCACAUGAUUUUCUGUUCUUCCAUUCCCCAAAACUGCAAAUGUUGCUAUCAACCAAAUCAUGAUCCCUCCUAGUGUUACCAACCUUAUGGUGAGCCAGCGAUUUGAACUCAUAUUUACAAGAGUGAACCUGAUAUUAUUGUCCAUAGACUUUCCAUUGAUGAUUGCCAUCCAAUCAUAUGCUUUAUAUGCACGAAUACUUGACAAACCAUUUAACGCUUCUCCAAAUUGUGCAUAAACCGGAGACCUGGUAAUAGAAUCCAGACGUUUCACUUCACGGGAAGUGCUCUGUACAAUACAGUACAAGAGUAUAGUUAUUAGAGCUUGUAGAUACAAUACUGACAAGAUGAAUUAACUAGCAUAAAAAUGUCAAUUCAACAUUAAUGGAUAUAUAUGAUUGCAGAAACAUUAAUGGAUAUAUAUGAUUGAAGCUCAGAAAGAUAACUCUUACAUGUGGAACUGAUAAAAACAACAACAAUAACUUGAUACGUGAAAGAAACCACUCGUAGAGCAUCCCAACCAAGAUACUAAAGUUACAUUCAUUGCAAAAGGCAUACCAGUUUCCAAACAACAACAACAACUAGGGAUUUCUCAUCAUACCUGAUAAUAUAGAUAUGCUGAAUAAAACAAGAUCAGAAGUGGCAUAAUGGCCCACAAUGAUAUUGUGCUCACAAUGCCUAUCAGCACAAAAGUUGAAAACAGCUGCCAGGCUUGGUUUAGAAAAUUGUUGGCAAAAUUGGCAACAUUACGAUCUAUUUCACCUAGAUCCUUCGCAAACCUAUUGAUUAUUCUCCCAGAUGGGUUCGUGUGGAAAAAUAGCAUGGGAGCUCGUAGGAUAGAGUCUAGCAUGGCAUCAUGAAGUCUUUUAGCUGCAUGUAGACUUGAACUGAUUAACCAAUAAGAGUUCACUAGAGUCACAAUCACCUGAACCAGAAAUAUGAAGUAAGACUCUAAUGACCAUAGCAAUUACAUAAAUUCUAAAGUUUCUUCCUCACUACUUCUCUUUUUUGUUUCACAUCUGUUAUUCUAUGUUAAAAAACAACUACAAAUAAAAGAAAGUAGAAUGGAUUAAGAUAUUGAUGCCAACUAUGGCUGUGAACAAACCUGACCAAAUGAUAGAAGUGCAUACACGAAAAUGUAGUAUCCUGGCUUAUAACUCUCCAAAGUGCUUUGAUUAGUCCAAAAACUCAACCAUGUACUUCUUGAAACUCGAAGAACUUCAGUUAAUAAGUAGCACAAAAAGAUUAUCAAAACCACCCAUAUGCCUCCUAAUGCAUUGUUAUACCUGCAAAUGGACAUAAAAAUGUCAAGUACAAGAGCAACAAAAUUAUCUUCGAAUGUUUCAUGUUUAUGACUAUCAUACAUGCUAUUGAAAACUACGAAAUAUUAAUGCAUUCACAUUACAGAACGGCCAUUAGUUGAAAAAAUGUUUCUACCACUGGUUUUAAGUGCUUGCUGGAGAGCUUAAAACUACAAAGAUACUGUAUAAAAUGAGAACAUCUACAGUAAGUAGUUGGUAUCCAAUGGGCAUUAAAUGGUUUUGCAUCCAAAAUAUGUGCAUUUGAGCAUCACUAGUCUUCAGGAUAUCCACCUUGGCCACAAUUAUGGUACAGCAGUUAAAGACUAGGAAAUAUGUUUUCAACUUUGACCCGCAUUGAAGUUUUCUUAGUAAAUCAAAGAGGUUUACCUAUGAACUUGGUUUGCACGCUUCGCUGCUGUGAGCAUCAUAUAAAAAUAUGUUGAAUGUAUUCAGAAAAGGGUCCUUAUCCUAAGGCAUUGUUUAGAAAUUGCGCAAACAAUCAAAGAAAUAAAAUAUAGCAAGAAUCUUAAAUAAGCCCCCUAAAUUACCUUGUCAAAACAUUCCAACUGACAACACCUGUUUCACGUUCUUCUUGCUUGAUAAGUACAGAUUUCCCUCCUUUCACUUUCAUUUUGGAACCUGCUUUUUGUGGCAAAUCAUUUCCCCCAUUAGCCGCUGGUUUUGAGCUUUUGUAGUCUAAAUUUUCACUGUUCUUUUCUUCCACUAGCUCUUCCAUUUUCCCUGCAUUUUCCAUCAGCUUCUGGAACAGCUUGCCAUUUUUAGAGAGUUCCUCAAAGGUUCCCUCCUCUUUAAUCAUACCUUCACUGAGAAGAAUAAUUUUAUCCACUUGUGGAAGAAAAUGUAGCUGGUUGGUGACAAGAACCCUGGUUUUUCCUUGCAACUCGUCCUUAAUACAACUGUUGAAGACCUGUAAAUUUGAGAUUAGGCUAAUAUUUAGCUUAAACAGAAGCUUUUUAAGCUUGCUUUUAGAGCUUCGAUGUGUAAAGCUAGCGAUUGUCAAAGUCAUGAAACACUAAAGUAAUAUGAAAAAGAAGCAGAGAGAAAUUCCCUCGAACUCAUAACCUGGUCUUCAAGGAAUAAAAUUGUUGGAAUAAAGUUAUUGAAUGUUCACUUUGUAUAAAGAAAGCUUAAUAAUAAAGAGCUGCUCAUCACUGUGAACCAUAUCAAGCUUGUUAUAAGAUAUAUUUAGGUAGCACUAGUGAUCAAAUUAACUUUAAUGUGAGCUUAUAGUAUUUAACUUGACCCAGUACCUGUCGACCGACAUGAGCAUCUAAAGCACUUAAAGGGUCAUCAAAUAUGUACACAUCUGAAUCGGAAAGACUAAUUAAUCAGAACACUUUGUAUAGGAGGAAACAUUUAUUAAUCAAUAAUAAAUUACAAACUGGAACUCUUUCUGCCUUGCCAAUAUCAUGCAGUGGUCCGAAAACCCUAAUACCAGCCUAGUUCCUCAAGUUCAGAUCAAUGCUAAAUUCCCCUGAUAUGGGAUUGACUGUGAUAACUAAUACAAUAUGGGGGAUUUCAAUUGUACAUCAAAAGUUUAUGUAGCAGAGGUUCUCUUUACUUUCAGCAGUCCCAUCUGAAAUUUGCUACUGGAUGAUCACUCAAAAUCGAGCUACCAGCUUUCUCUGUUGAGGUGCAGAACAGACUCAUUUCUUAGAACAUCGAAUUUCCCAUUGUUCCCUAAAUUUUCAAAUCAUCCCAAUCAAGGGAUUCGUUUUCAUAAUCAUAUUGUUGAUGCCUACCGCGUGACAACCUGCCCAUUACAGCCAAACCUGAAACAAUCCGGCCAUGUUGAAUCAGAAAGUGUAGGCAAAACCAC